UACGGAGGGUGCAAGCGUUAUCCGGAUUCACUGGGUUUAAAGGGUGCGUAGGUGGGUUGGUAAGUCAGUGGCGAAAUCUCCGGGCUUAACUCGGAAACUGCCGUUGAUACUAUCAAUCUUGAAUAUUGUGGAGGUAAGCGGAAUAUGUCAUGUAGCGGUGAAAUGCUUAGAUAUGACAUAGAACACCGAUAGCGAAGGCAGCUUGCUACACAAUUAUUGACACUGAGGCACGAAAGCGUGGGGAUCAAACAGG
rnacentral:rRNA from 1 species